rnacentral:rRNA from 1 species
CAGCCGCCGCGGGAAUACGAAGGGGGCUAGCGUUGUUCGGAAUUACUGGGCGUAAAGGGCGCGUAGGCGGCCAUUCAAGUUAGAUGUGAAAGCCCUGGGCUCAACCUAGGAAUUGCAUUUGAUACUGUUUGGCUUGAGUUCGGGAGAGGUGAGUGGAAUUCCCAGUGUAGAGGUGAAAUUCGUAGAUAUUGGGAAGAACACCAGUGGCGAAGGCGGCUCACUGGACCGACACUGACGCUGAGGCGCGAAAGCGUGGGGAGCAAACAGGAUUAGAUACCCCUGUAGUCCCUGUCUCUUAUAC